rnacentral:rRNA from 1 species
AUGGCAAAAGUACUCCAUUUUGGCCAUGGCAAAAUUAAUCCAUUUUUUGCCAUGGCAAAUUUUUAUUUCACUUUUGCCAUGGCAAAUUUAACUCCAUUUUUUGCCAUGGCAAAUUUUUACUUCACUUUUGCCAUGGCAAAUUUAACUCCAUUUUUUGCCAUGUCAAAAAUACUUUUAUUUCACAUGGAAAAUUCUAGUUUAAGUUGCCAUUUUAAAUUUUAUUUUAAGUUGCCAUGGCAAUUUCAAUUUAAAUAUUAUGGAAAAUUUACAUUUUAUAGAACAUGGCAAUUUUUGCUAUGUAGCAUCUAA